GAUGAACGCUAGCUACAGGCUUAACACAUGCAAGUCGAGGGGAAACGACAUCGAAAGCUUGCUUUUGAUGGGCGUCGACCGGCGCACGGGUGAGUAACGCGUAUCCAACCUGCCCAUCACUUGGGAAUAACCUUGCGAAAGUAAGACUAAUGCCCAAUGAUAUCCCACGAAGACAUCUGAAUGGGACUAAAGAUUUAUCGGUGAUGGAUGGGGAUGCGUCUGAUUAGCUUGUUGGCGGGGUAACGGCCCACCAAGGCGACGAUCAGUAGGGGGUCUGGGAGGAAGGUCCCCCACAUUGGAACUGGGACACGGACCAAACUCCUACGGGAGGCAGCAGUGAGGAAUAUUGGGCAAUGGGCGAGAGCCUGAACCAGCCAAGUAGCGUGCAGGAUGACGGCCCUAUGGGUUGUAAACUGCUUUUAUAAGGGAAUAAAGUGAGUCUCGUGAGACUUUUUGCAUGUACCUUAUGAAUAAGGACCGGCUAAUUCCGUGCCAGCCGCCGCGGUAA
rnacentral:rRNA from 1 species